rnacentral:rRNA from 1 species
UACGUAGGGUGCGAGCGUUAAUCGGAAUUACUGGGCGUAAAGCGUGCGCAGGCGGUUUUGUAAGCCAGAUGUGAAAUCCCCGGGCUUAACCUGGGAAUGGCAUUUGGGACUGCAAGGCUGGAGUGCGGCAGAGGAGACGUGGAAUUCCUGGUGUAGCAGUGAAAUGCGUAGAUAUCAGGAGGAACACCGAUGGCGAAGGCAGCACUCUGG